UCUUCCCGAGCUCCCUUGCUAGGUUCCUCGUCCGCCUCUCUGUCCUAGUCUCGUCAGCAACAGCACAGUGUUGUUACUGACGCGCCUUCACUCUGUUGACCUGCAUCUAGCCAAGUUUAUUUGGAGACUCCAACCUUUGGUCUCCCAAACUUGGAGCUCCCAAGGGGAGAGGUUCUGCCAAAAUUUUGGCUUCUGAGCAUCCAUUUUCAGGGGGAGGUUCUGCCAAAAUCUGCUCCUGUGAACAUAGAUUUCUCAAGGGGAGGUUCUGCCAAAAUUUCCUCCUGUAACCACCAGCUUUCCAGGGGGAGAUUCUGCCAAAAUUUCCUGCACUGAUCAUCAUUCUUCUAAGGGGAGGUUCUGCCGAAGUUUUCUUGUGUGACGACGACGAUCAGUUUCCAGGGGGAGAUUCUGCCAAAAUUUUCUGCACUGACCAUCAGUCUUCCAGGGGAGGUUCUGCCAAAAUUUUCUUCUCUCACUAUCACUUCUCCAAGGCCAAGCCCUGCCAAAAUUUCCUUCAUAUAUCACAUGCAUCGUAGACAUACAGACAAUAAACUCUAAUUUGCAAAGGUAACAAAAAAAAAAAGAGUGCUUUCCUCCUUGGCCUUGAUGGUAGGCUAGUAGAGAAAACCGCGCGCAGCAUCUGUUUACAUGUUGUUGCUCGUCCUGUCCGAGCACCUCCUUUCCAGAUUUAUGGUCGGUUCUGCCCUAACCCGCCUUGUCCAGUCCUUCUCUGUUGUUUUCCUCUACUGGUUUUAUGUCUUCUCAGUAAGCCGCCAGUAGUUGGACUCACCUUUUCAAGUUAUCUAGGCAUUUCCUAUAUAUUUACCACAUAUAAAAAUUAUACUAAGGCAGUAACAAAAGAGGUGCCUUUAUAUCUGACAAACAGAAGGGAGUGAAAAAGUUUAGAUUACACCUCAGUUUGCCUGUGGUGACAACUAUGUCAAGUGGCACUUCGUCCGGAUCGAGCCGGUGGGUCCAAAGUUCUAGAUCCGAGGAUGACCUAGAUCUCCAGGCCCAGAUGGAGAGGAGGAGAAAGCGGAGGAAGGAGUCGAAUCGGGAGUCAGCUCGGAGGUCUAGGCAACGG
rnacentral:lncRNA from 1 species